rnacentral:rRNA from 1 species
GGGGCAAAAUUAAUAAUUUAAAGGGUAAUAAAAAAAAUUUUAAUAUUAUAAUAAUUUAAUGGGGGUUAAAGUAUUUUUAAUAGAAAAAAUUUAAAUUUUUAUAGUAAAAUAGUAUUGUGAAAGAAUUUUGAAAUAUUUUGAAAUUAAAUUUAUUAAAAAGUAAAUUUAAUUUAUUGUAUCUUGGGUAUCAGAGUUUAUUAAAAAUUUUUUAUUGUGUAAUAAAUUUCUCGAAUUUAAAAGAGAUAGUUAAUUAAAAAAGUUAUUGUUGUAUAAAUAUUUUUAAUAAUUAAUUUGAAAUGAAAUGUUAAUCGUUUUUAAAUAUAUCUAGUUUUUUUAGAAUAAAAUUUAAUUUUUAAUUUUAAAUUAAAAUUUAUUAAUUAAUUUAAUUUAUUUUAAUAUAAAAUUUUAUAUUUUAAGGGAUAAGCUUUAAAUUAAAUUUUUAUAAUAAUUUUCAUUUAAUUAUUAAAAUUUUUAUAAUUUAUAUUGUUAAUAAAUUAUAUUUUGUUAUAAAUAAUUUUAUUAAAUUUAAAAUUUAAUUUAAUAUUUAAUUUUUUAUAAAAAAAUAAAUUAUAAUUUUUUAUGUUUAAAUAUUAUGAUAAAAUUAGUAUAUAAAAAUAAAUUAAAUUAUUUAAUUUUAAUUUAAAUUAAUUUAAAGGAAUUCGGCAAAAUUUUAUAUUCACUUGUUUAUCAAAAACAUGUCUUUUUGAUAAUAAUUUAAAGUCUAAUCUGCCCACUGAUAUUAAUUAAAGGGCUGCAGUAUUUUGACUGUACAAAGGUAGCAUAAUCAUUAGUCUCUUAAUUGGUGACUUGUAUGAAAGAUUGGAUGAAAUAUAUACUGUCUUUAAAUUAUAUUAUUGAAUUUAAUUUUUUAGUUAAAAAGCUCAAAUAAAUUAAAAAGACGAGAAGACCCUAUAGAGUUUUAUAAUUUUUAUAAAUUAAUUUUAUUUAUAAAUUUUAUAAUUUUAAUUUAUAAAAAUUAUUUUAUUGGGGUGAUAAAAAAAUUAAAUAAACUUUUUUUAAAAAAUUUCAUUAAUAAGUGAUUAAAUGAUCCAAUUUUAUUGAUUAUAAGAUUAAAUUACCUUAGGGAUAACAGCGUAAUUUUUUUUUUUAGUUCAAAUAAAAAAAAAAGUUUGCGACCUCGAUGUUGGAUUAAGAUAAAAUUUAUAUGCAAAAGUAUAAAAUUUUGAUCUGUUCGAUCAUUAAAAUCUUACAUGAUCUGAGUUCAAACCGGUGUAAGCCAGGUUGGUUUCUAUCUUUUAAAAAAAAAAAUAUUUUAGUACGAAAGGAUCAAAUAUUUUAAUUAAAUUAUUUAAUACUUGAAUUUUAUUAAUUUUUAAUAAAAAUUUUUAAUAUUAUUAAAUAUUUAAUAAUAUAUAUA